CUCUACAUCCACACCACCUGCACAUGCCCAAUCUCAUAUGAUCUCAGAAAUAAACAGGGUCAGACCCGGUUAGUACUUGGUUAGGAGACCUAGGAAUACCAGGCGCUGUAGGCU
rnacentral:rRNA from 1 species